AGAACCAGUCCGACCAGCUUGGCGCUGGGACGCCUCCCCGCGCUGUGCCGCGGCCCGGGGUGCCGGGGAGCUGGGCUGGGGGCGGGGACCCCUGCCGGGAACCCGACUUAGCCCGGAGACGCUCAAGAGCAAGAAGCCGAGCGGAAAAGUUAGCGCAGGUUGUGGAAAUCAUGAGUUCCCUGCUAGUGACAUUGGAGUGCACAGAUGAAUAUCGACAAGGCUCCAGGGAGUUCUGAACAGAGGCCAAGGCAGGCCCUGGAGCUGUAUGCUGCUUACAGGAAAAGAGAAAGAGGGGACCCCAAUAGUCUAGGUCCCUGGAUCCUCUGACCCGGGGCCUGACACUGUCAGGGAAGCUGCUGUCUCCCUGGGGACCUAUUGAAUGUUCUUCCCAUGGCUGGUCAGUGCUGACACCUCAACACAGGAAGAGAAAUACUCCUAUGAAGUCAUCUGAAGCCUGGUCAUGCCAGGGACACUUCACGAAGCCAGGAACAGUCCUGUUUCUAAAAGCCCAAAAUCUAAUAGCCUCUCUACAGAUAUAAAAGCCCAAAGACAUG
rnacentral:antisense_RNA from 1 species